rnacentral:rRNA from 1 species
GCUACGGGUGGCAGCAGUGGGGAAUAUUGCACAAUGGGGGAAACCCUGAUGCAGCAACGCCGCGUGAGUGAAGAAGUCAUUCGUGAUGUAAAGCUCUAUCAGCAGGGAAGAAAAUGACGGUACCUGACUAAGAAGCCCCGGCUAACUACGUGCCAGCAGCCGCGGUAAUACGAAGGGGGCAAGAGUUAUCCGGAUUUACUGGGUGUAAAGGGAGAGUAGACGGCGACGCAAGUCUGACGUGAAGUGCCAGUGCUCAACACUGGAACUGCUGUGGAAACUGUGACGCUGGAGUGCAGGAGAGGUAAGCGGAAUUCCUGGUGUAGCGGUGAAAUGCGUAGAUAUCAGGAAGAACACCGGCGGCGAAGGCGGCUUACUGGACUGUAACUGACGUUGAGGCUCGAAGGCGUGGGUGGCAAACAGGAUUAGAUACCCGUGUAGUC